rnacentral:rRNA from 1 species
AGAGUUUGAUCCUGGCUCAGGACGAACGCUGGCGGCACGCUUAACACAUGCAAGUCGAACGAGAGAAGAGGAGCUUGCUUUUCUGAUCUAGUGGCGGACGGGUGAGUAACACGUGAGCAAUCUGCCUUUCAGAGGGGGAUACCGAUUGGAAACGAUCGUUAAUACCGCAUAACAUAAUUGAACCGCAUGAUUUGAUUAUCAAAGAUUUAUCGCUGAAAGAUGAGCUCGCGUCUGAUUAGCUAGUUGGUAAGGUAACGGCUUACCAAGGCGACGAUCAGUAGCCGGACUGAGAGGCUGAUCGGCCACAUUGGGACUGAGACACGGCCCAGACUCCUACGGGAGGCAGCAGUGGGGAAUAUUGCACAAUGGAGGAAACUCUGAUGCAGCGAUGCCGCGUGAGGGAAGAAGGUUUUAGGAUUGUAAACCUCUGUCUUCAGGGACGAAAAAAGACGGUACCUGAGGAGGAAGCUCCGGCUAACUACGUGCCAGCAGCCGCGGUAAUACGUAGGGAGCGUGCGUUGUCCGGAAUUACUGGGUGUAAAGGGAGCGUAGGCGGGAUCGCAAGUCAGAUGUGAAAACUAUGGGCUUAACCCAUAAACUGCAUUUGAAACUGUGGUUCUUGAGUGAAGUAGAGGUAAGCGGAUUUCCUAGUGUAGCGGUGAAAUGCGUAGAUAUUAGGAGGAACAUCAGUGGCGAAGGCGGCUUACUGGGCUUUAACUGACGCUGAGGCACGAAAGCGUGGGGAGCAAACAGGAUUAGAUACCCUGGUAGUCCACGCCGUAAACGAUGAUUACUAGGUGUGGGGGGACUGACCCCUUCCGUGCCGCAGCAAACGCAAUAAGUAAUCCACCUGGGGAGUACGACCGCAAGGUUGAAACUCAAAGGAAUUGACGGGGGCCCGCACAAGCAGUGGAGUAUGUGGAUUAAUUCGAAGCAACGCGAAGAACCUUACCAGGUCUUGACAUCGUAUGCAUAGCUCAGAGAUGAGUGAAAUCUCUUCGGAGACAUAUAGACAGGUGGUGCAUGGUUGUCGUCAGCUCGUGUCGUGAGAUGUUGGGUUAAGUCCCGCAACGAGCGCAACCCUUACUGUUAGUUGCUACGCAAGAGCACUCUAGCAGGACUGCCGUUGACAAAACGGAGGAAGGUGGGGAUGACGUCAAAUCAUCAUGCCCCUUAUGACCUGGGCCUCACACGUACUACAAUGGCUGUCAACAGAGGGAAGCAAAGCCGCGAGGUGGAGCGAACCCCUAAAAGCAGUCUUAGUUCGGAUUGUAGGCUGCAACCCGCCUACAUGAAGUCGGAAUUGCUAGUAAUCGCAGAUCAGCAUGCUGCGGUGAAUACGUUCCCGGGCCUUGUACACACCGCCCGUCACGCCAUGGGAGUCGGUAACACCCGAAGCCUGUAGUCUAACCGCAAGGAGGACGCAGUCGAAGGUGGGAUUGAUGACUGGGGUGAAGUCGGAACAAGGUA